GGAGGGAGGACGCUCCCAGGAGGAGGGCUGUUGUGAAAGUCAGCUGUGUAAAGGAGUACAGAAGAGAGUUGGGAUGAAUGGCUUAACUGGAAGCCAUAAGACUUUUGGCAGACGCUACUUUUUUUUUGAGUCUUGAUCAACCAUGUAAAUAAUUUUGGCUACCCUGCUAGAGAGACCAGAUGGAGAGUGUGACAUUCUGAAGGGUGAAAGUCCACAAGGGGUGGAAGACCACAGAAAAUGAAAUACCACGAGAAGUGAUUGGCUUCAAUAUUCCAGCUACCCCAGCACAGGAACAAGAUCAUGAGAGAAGCCAUUUUGGAUCCUCCAGCCUAGAUUGCAUGCACCUGACCAAGCCCAGCUGCCGGCACAUGGAGAAGAGAUAGGCAUUCCCACUGAGUCCUGGCAAACCAGCCCACAGAGUCAUAAGCACAUUAAGUGGUUAUCGUUUUAAGUCACUAAGUUAGGGUGAUUGUUAUACAGCAACAGAU
rnacentral:lncRNA from 10 species